CAUAUGUAUUUUGGUAAAAAAAAAAACUUUUCGACUGAGACUAAAAAUAUUUUUUCAGAAAGCUUUAAAUGGAGCUUCUUCUAAAAAGUUGUUAUUAGCUUUCUGAAAAAGCUAAAACGGUUUUUCAAAAUUUUUACUAAACAUCCUUAUUUCAUUUAAAAGCGAUUUUAGAAGGUCAUAAAGUACUUUUUGGCCCUCCAAAAGCUCCCCCAAAGAAGAAUAAAAUAUAGAUUUCCAAUCUUUUGCUAGCGGGUCCUCGGCUAUCCCCAGGUCUGAAGUUUUCCAUAUAGUGCAUGGUCAUGGAAGUAGCCUUGGGGUGCCAAUAAGUGAAUGUGAAGAGUUCAUCUGGUUUAUGUAGUGCUGGCUUUACAAUUUUGCAUUCUACCACUCAUCAUGUGUCACGGAGUUUGGGCUGUGAAAUAAUAGUACGACCUUCUCCCAUUGGCCAUUGGUACAAUUGUCUAAAAAUCACGUUCAUGUGUAAAACUUCCGGUUUGACAAAGCUGCAACAUUCUACCACUUUUCCUCGCCGCAUACUUUCUUCGAGCUUUUUCUCCAUCUUUAGAUUAGCACCAUCUCUUAACACGGAAAACAAUUUGCUAAGACAAUAGCAUUCCAUCCACUUGCCCAACAAACAAAUCAGCAAGAUGGACUAUUUCUGAUUGCAUUUCGUACAAGAGGGACAACCAUGAGUUUCUUGGCAUCAGCAGUUCUAAAGCAAGAAUUCAUAGAGAGAGUUUGGAAUUUAUUUUCAAGGUCCUUCCAGCAUCAAGAAUUGCAAUAAACAAUGAAUAUAUGUUCAUGAGAUGUGGAUGGGCAUUAAAGGCCUAGGAAUGGUUUUUACAAAUUUACUCAUAGUUUCCCAUACUUUUGACUGUAGAUAAGCUAAUAUUAGAUAGACAUUUCUUCUGAGUUAAUUUAAAUAACACAGACAGUAGAUGAGAGGCUAUAGCUUCUAAAAGAG